AGCAGCCGCGGUAAUUCCAGCUCCAAUAGCGUAUAUUAAAGUUGUUGCAGUUAAAAAGCUCGUAGUUGAAUUUCGGGAUUUAUCCGUCGGUCGGGCUUUUGGGUCUGUACUGGCGUGAUGGAUUCCUACCUUCUGAAUAACCGGCAUGUCAUUUAUUUGGUGCGCUGGGGAAGCAGGACUGUUACCUUAGAAAAAAUUAGAGUGCUUAAAGCAGGCUAUUGCCUGAAUACAUUAGCAUGGAAUAAUGAAAUAGGACGGCAUGGUUCUAUUUUGUUGGUUUCUAGGAUCACCGUAAUGAUUAAUAGGGAUAGUUGGGGGCAUUAGUAUUCAAUUGUCAGAGGUGAAAUUCUUGGAUUUAUUGAAGACUAACUUCUGCGAAAGCAUUUGCCAAGGAUGUUUUCAUU
rnacentral:rRNA from 1 species